rnacentral:tRNA from 1 species
UAAAAAGUUAGUUAAGCUAUAAUGUGGGAUUGUCAGUCCCAGGUCACUAAUAAAAUUUAGUACUUUUUAU